rnacentral:rRNA from 1 species
CAAGUACCCGUGAGGGAAAGUUGCAAAGAACUUUGAAGAGAGAGUUCAAGAGGGCGUGAAACCGCUCAGAAGCAAACAGGUGGAGCUGAAGUGGCAGUCGACUGGAUUCAGCCUUUGUGCUGGGCAGGGAGGUUGAGAGGGACUUGCGCCCAAUCGGCCGUUAAUACCUACCCUCACUGGGCGCAUUUCCAGUCGACGAGCACUGGGACUGGUGGUGGAGCUCGCGGAAGUUGCGGAAUGCGGUCCAGCGCCUCGGCGUUGGUCACCCUUUCGCUUCGGAAGUGAAGUCUCUGCUACCAGUAACGUCGGUGCCCGCCCAAACUCGUUAGUGUGGAAGUUUCGGUGACUCCGUACCUCUCGGGUGCUUGCACGCGUUUGGUGAGUUGCCGUUACGGAAGCUCGAUUCGAGAAGGCGCCGAUCCCGGUGUUACAGUCAGCCACCCACCUGACCCGUCUUGAAACACGGACCAAGGAGUCUAACAUGUGCGCGAGUUAGCGAGUCGAGAAACUCAAUAGCGUAAUGAAGGUAAAAGUCAGUUCGGCUGACCGAAAGGCGAUCCUUGGCCACUGGCCUUGGCGCAGCCUAGUCCCGUCUUCUCUGCAUUGUCAGUGAGGCGGAGACAGAGCGUACACGUUGGGACCCGAAAGAUGGUGAACUAUGCCUAAGCAGGACGAAGCCAGAGGAAACUCUGGUGGAGGCCCGCAGCGGUUCUGACGUGCAAAUCGAUCGUCAGACUCGGGUAUAGGGGCGAAAGACUAAUCGAACCAUCUAGUA